UAUUGUCCUAUCUGAGCUUUCCUUUAAGGCUUAUAUUGUUUUCUUUUGAGCUUCCCUUGAAGGCUUUAAAAUGUGGAGACAUCACCCUUCCUGAGCCCAGUGUCCUCGUUGACACUCCUUCCUUUCUCUAAUUGAUGUAGGACCGCCACCAAAUCCACCUCCUUUUGGGGCCAGCGUCCUUACUGACACAUCGCCUCAUGUCUACUCCUUUGGGGAACAGCCUACUCGCUAGCUCAUAGAACGACCCAAGCCCACCACUAGCAG